rnacentral:rRNA from 1 species
AUACAUGCAAGUCGAACGAAACUUUCUUACACCGAAUGCUUGCAUUCACCGUAAGAAGUUGAGUGGCGGACGGGUGAGUAACACGUGGGUAACCUGCCUAAAAGAAGGGGAUAACACUUGGAAACAGGUGCUAAUACCGUAUAUAUCUAAGGAUCGCAUGAUCCUUAGAUGAAAGAUGGUUCUGCUAUCGCUUUUAGAUGGACCCGCGGCGUAUUAACUAGUUGGUGGGGUAACGGCCUACCAAGGUGAUGAUACGUAGCCGAACUGAGAGGUUGAUCGGCCACAUUGGGACUGAGACACGGCCCAAACUCCUACGGGAGGCAGCAGUAGGGAAUCUUCCACAAUGGACGCAAGUCUGAUGGAGCAACGCCGCGUGAGUGAAGAAGGUCUUCGGAUCGUAAAACUCUGUUGUUAGAGAAGAACACGAGUGAGAGUAACUGUUCAUUCGAUGACGGUAUCUAACCAGCAAGUCACGGCUAACUACGUGCCAGCAGCCGCGGUAAUACGUAGGUGGCAAGCGUUGUCCGGAUUUAUUGGGCGUAAAGGGAACGCAGGCGGUCUUUUAAGUCUGAUGUGAAAGCCUUCGGCUUAACCGGAGUAGUGCAUUGGAAACUGGAAGACUUGAGUGCAGAAGAGGAGAGUGGAACUCCAUGUGUAGCGGUGAAAUGCGUAGAUAUAUGGAAGAACACCAGUGGCGAAAGCGGCUCUCUGGUCUGUAACUGACGCUGAGGUUCGAAAGCGUGGGUAGCAAACAGGAUUAGAUACCCUGGUAGUCCACGCCGUAAACGAUGAAUGCUAGGUGUUGGAGGGUUUCCGCCCUUCAGUGCCGCAGCUAACGCAAUAAGCAUUCCGCCUGGGGAGUACGACCGCAAGGUUGAAACUCAAAGGAAUUGACGGGGGCCCGCACAAGCGGUGGAGCAUGUGGUUUAAUUCGAAGCAACGCGAAGAACCUUACCAGGUCUUGACAUCCUUUGACCACCUAAGAGAUUAGGCUUUCCCUUCGGGGACAAAGUGACAGGUGGUGCAUGGCUGUCGUCAGCUCGUGUCGUGAGAUGUUGGGUUAAGUCCCGCAACGAGCGCAACCCUUGUUGUCAGUUGCCAGCAUUAAGUUGGGCACUCUGGCGAGACUGCCGGUGACAAAUCGGAGGAAGGUGGGGACGACGUCAAGUCAUCAUGCCCCUUAUGACCUGGGCUACACACGUGCUACAAUGGACGGUACAACGAGUCGCGAGACCGCGAGGUUUAGCUAAUCUCUUAAAGCCGUUCUCAGUUCGGAUUGUAGGCUGCAACUCGCCUACAUGAAGUCGGAAUCGCUAGUAAUCGCGAAUCAGCAUGUCGCGGUGAAUACGUUCCCGGGCCUUGUACACACCGCCCGUCACACCAUGAGAGUUUGUAACACCCAAAGCCGGUGGGGUAACCGCAAGGAGCCAGCCGUCUAA